rnacentral:misc_RNA from 1 species
CAGAGUUCAUGCCCUCACGGGUAGAUCUCCCACCCUUGAAUAACAUACAUUGUUGCUUUGGCGGACGCUUCGGCAGCCGCCAGAGAACCCUAAACUCUUGUUUACAGUGUCGUCUGAGUACUAUAUAAUAGUUAAAACUUUCAACAACGGAUCUCUUGGUUCUGGCAUCGAUGAAGAACGCAGCGAAAUGCGAUAAGUAAUGUGAAUUGCAGAAUUCAGUGAAUCAUCGAAUCUUUGAACGCACAUUGCGCCCCUUGGUAUUCCGGGGGGCAUGCCUGUUCGAGCGUCAUUAUAACCCCUCAAGCUCAGCUUGGUGUUGGGGCCUGCCAACUGGCAGCCCUUAAAAUCAGUGGCGGCGCCAUCUGGCUCUAAGCGUAGUAAUUUCUCUCGCUAUAGGGUCCCGGUGGACGCUGGCCAGCAACCCCCAAUUUUUUAAUGGUGA